rnacentral:rRNA from 1 species
GAUGAACGCUGGCGGCGUGCCUAAUACAUGCAAGUCGAGCGAACAGACGAGGAGCUUGCUCCUCUGACGUUAGCGGCGGACGGGUGAGUAACACGUGGAUAACCUACCUAUAAGACUGGGAUAACUUCGGGAAACCGGAGCUAAUACCGGAUAAUAUAUUGAACCGCAUGGUUCAAUAGUGAAAGACGGUUUUGCUGUCACUUAUAGAUGGAUCCGCGCCGUAUUAGCUAGUUGGUAAGCUAACGGCUUACCAAGGCAACGAUGCGUAGCCGACCUGAGAGGGUGAUCGGCCACACUGGAACUGAGACACGGACCAGACUCCUACGGGAGGCAGCAGUAGGGAAUCUUCCGCAAUGGGCGAAAGCCUGACGGAGCAACGCCGCGUGAGUGAUGAAGGUCUUCGGAUCGUAAAACUCUGUUAUUAGGGAAGAACAAAUGUGUAAGUAACUAUGCACGUCUUGACGGUACCUAAUCAGAAAGCCACGGCUAACUACGUG